GAUUUAGGACCUGGUGCGGAGAACGGGCGGGUGGGACUGGAGUCGUCCACCAAUGAGAGCGAGUUCUGCAGCCGCCCUCUUGGUAAAGGAAAGUGAACCAGGAAGAAAAGGGGACCAAGUGAAAGAGGGACCUGAGCUGCAGAACCAACCAAGCCGGCAAUUAGAUUAUCGGUUAUGUAGCAAGGGAGUCUGGAAAUGGCCAUGAAAUUCGCGUACCAAAGAGGAAAUCUAAACAUGGUUUCUCAUGUUAUGUCUCCUGUUAGUGUGCAUGCAGAUGGACACCAGUUUUGUUGGUGGACAGAAGCAGGCACUACCUUCAGCAGGGAGGUCAUUAAAUCUUCAGCGCAAUUUCUGACUUCCAGGAGACCUGUUCAGGCAAGCAGACUACUCUCUGCAGGCCAGACUUUCGUGGUUUGCUGAGUUGUGUUUGCUGGCCACAGCGCUCAGUCAGGACGAUGGUCAUCAGGAAAACAUGGCUGCAGGACCAGGCACUCUGGCGGGGCUGACGUGGAGAAUGAGGAGGGCAGGAGGGCCGCCUCACACUGAUUUACAGGAGACAACUGCGACACAGUCCACAGAGCUGCAGUCAUCCCCUCUUGUCCCUCAGAGCUGGUGAGCUGGUCCACGCUGUUCCAGAAGUCCUUAUCGUAGCUGUGACGCUCUGGAGCCUCCUCACAAGUCAGUGAUGAUCAAACCCAAAAGAUGAGGGCACGGAGAGGUUAAGCUCCAAACAGCAUCCUCGAAGGCUCUCCUGGGAGCCCAGCAGAGAAUCCCCAUCAACAGGCUGUUCUCUUGUAAGCGCUGGCGUCGCUCUCAGUUUCCAUGGUGUUGGGGCACCAUGCUGACUAGUCAAGCUUCUCGCCUGGGAAGACAUCAUGCUGCCUGUACCAGGGACUUCAGCUUCUCCCAAAAACUCUGCAGUGGUGGUAAGCCUCGUCUGGGCUUACAAUCAAAAAGCAACAAAGCUCUCCUGCACCAGAAGCUUUACACAUCAUCAGGGUCAAGUUCUGUGCCUCGCCUUUUUAAACAAGACUUUGUGUCUCACAGAAACCCUCUGAGCCUCUGAGUCAGACAUGUGUGUUGAUGUUGGCCGAUGGAAGGAUUCAUCCUUCUUCAGUUGGUUUGUGAGUGUUGGCAUUACAACCUGUCCUCAGGCAUCCUGAGGCAGGUGAGGCAGGUCAGCAUUGAGUGCACUGGGCCGUUAUAGCCAUACUGGUUCCUGGCUAGAAAAUAGAAUCUUAACCUGUUAGAAAACACACCAUCUAACAAAGUCCUUCUCCACUUGCGUUGAACUCCUAAUAUACUAUUCUACCCUGAAAUAAGCUUCGCUAGUGGAGGAUAGAUUAGUGUCUUCCCCUGAGCUCUGUGAAUAAGCACAGUGUGCCGUCCAUACACACCAGUGAACAUACAUGACACAGAUGUAACAUAUAUGACACAGGUUGAACAUAUACACAGAUAUAUACACCACACGCAUAUAUAGAAAACUACACACAGACACACGCAUACAGACACACACACAAAUUCCCACUGAUGUAGGUGUGUGGGAUUCAACUUAUGUCUGAUCUGUGACAGUCACCACACUGCUCUGGAUGGUGACAUGGCUGCAGUCCUGCGGUUGGAGAAAAGGAAAUGUGGGUAAAGCAUGGGAAACUCCUUUUUAAAAACCACUUACACUUUUUCUAUCGUACCAAAAGAGGGUCUCAUGUGACCCAGGCUAGACCACAUAACCUAGGUAUCCCAGGAUGAUUCAGAACUUAUCCUCCUGCCGCCUCCCCAGUGCUGGGUUUUAGGCAAACACCACCAUGACAGAUUUCGCUGGUGCUGGGAAUUGGAACCAGGGCUUUGUGCUUGAAGCAGGGGCACCCUCCCAGCUGAGCCACGUCCCCAGCCAUGAGCCUCUGGUGUAAGAAGCUCACUGAAGGCCAAUAGUUCUCAGCCUAGAGGUGAGAUCGUGAUGUCAGUGGCAGUUAUGGUAAAGGGUUUGGGACCCAGCACGCCUACCUAGUACUCCUCACGGUCAGAGGCAGUGUCUUCCCAUAUAUCUUUGCACAGAUUUUCCAGAGUCAUUUGUGAACUAGUCUUUAUGGGGACCAGUAAGUUCACUGCAGUGUUGGAGUCAUGAUGCCAAUCAGAUGGUAAAGGUGAGGUGUUCUGUGCCCGAAGGCAUGCUCACCCUUGACAUACAAAGCCCUGAGAGUCUGUCAGUCUGACGCAGUUUGGCUGUGUAGCGCAUCUUGCUUCAAACUGGUGAUCCUCCUGCUGCAGCCUCCAAAGUGCUGACGUUACAGAUGUGUUUCCCCAUGGCCAGGUUUGGAAAGGUUCAUUACAUUGGGUUCCAGGCCUGGCACUGCUGUUCCAGGAUUUUUUUUUUUUUUGAUUGUACAAUCUCUAUGUCAGCAUCCUGGUACCUAAACAUUAUUAUAUCCCAAGAUAGAUCUAGGUGUUGUGGAACAGAACUGUUACAUAGUUCUUCCUCACACUUAGCUGAGCCCUCAUCUGUGUUUGGUUCGUGAGACUGCGCGGUAGGGCUGGAGAGACGGUGCUGUGUUUAUCAGCACCGACUGUUCGGGCAGGGGAGCAGAAUUGCUUGACUCCAGAUCCAGGGCAUUGAUUGGAUCACCUCUUCUAACCACAACAGGCACUAAACUCACGUUCACAAAUCUACAGAGACACAGAAUUAACAUAAAACCAUUAUCUGUUUUUAAAAGACUCCACAAUGAAGUUACAGAAAUAAACAAAAGUAAUGAAUUAUAUAUAUGUUUUACAAAAGAAAGCUGAAAUUUCAUUUGGUUUUUAUUGUUAGGAUCAGGAGUAUGAUGCAAACCACAAACACACACACAUGUGUAGUGACACACACACUUCUGCCUCUUGGGAUUAGCACUCUGAUCCCAGGAUCUUAGCCUUCUCUGGGUCUCUGUGGCUACAUCCCUGGCUCUUACACAUUUCUGGGACAGGGUUCUGGUCCUUUCACUAUGUUGCUGCAUUUCUUUUGGCUCCCAACUUUAUGGAAAAGUCCAAGCUGAUGUGGAGUAAAGUGCCAGGAUGUCACUGAUCCGAGGCUGAUCUGAUGCACCGAGAUGCACACAACUGGGAGAAGAAACCACUUCUAGGGAGACCUGAACCCCACAUGCUCACUGUUUGUGUCCAGGGGAACACACCACUGGGACGGAUUCAGGCAUCAUCCUUUGCUACCCAAAAUGGCAUUGUAAAUCAACUGCACAGGAGGCUGUCUGGGUGAGAAGGCUUUGAGAAGACUAAGCCAGGGAUUCCCAGUGAGCCCAGCCAGCCAUGCCUGAUCCACCAAGGAAGCUGAUUCUCAUUCCAUCCUCACGAAGAGUUCCCAUGGCUACCUCAAACAUGAGUUCAGCAUCUCUCUGGAUCCUCAGCUGCCUGCUUCAGUCCUGUCCAUGGGACCUGUGUGAUUUCUCCUUAUGUGAGAGGAGCCUCUGCCGCCCUGAUGGGGCACAGCAUGCAAGCCAGUAAUGAUUUAUACAAUUGAACAGAAAAGGAUGAAGGCACAAGAUGAUGUCUCGCAGGUCAGCACUUCCCGAGAGCUGAGUUCAAGGGGCUGUGAGCUCCCAAAUCUAGAAAUAAGCCACCC